GAGAGUUUGAUCCUGGCUCAGAUUGAACGCUGGCGGCAGGCCUAACACAUGCAAGUCGAGCGGUAACACAGAGAGCUUGCUCUCGGGUGACGAGCGGCGGACGGGUGAGUAAUGUCUGGGAAACUGCCUGAUGGAGGGGGAUAACUACUGGAAACGGUAGCUAAUACCGCAUAACGUCGCAAGACCAAAGUGGGGGACCUUCGGGCCUCAUGCCAUCAGAUGUGCCCAGAUGGGAUUAGCUAGUAGGUGGGGUAAUGGCUCACCUAGGCGACGAUCCCUAGCUGGUCUGAGAGGAUGACCAGCCACACUGGAACUGAGACACGGUCCAGACUCCUACGGGAGGCAGCAGUGGGGAAUAUUGCACAAUGGGCGCAAGCCUGAUGCAGCCAUGCCGCGUGUAUGAAGAAGGCCUUCGGGUUGUAAAGUACUUUCAGCGAGGAGGAAGGCAUUAAGGUUAAUAACCUUGGUGAUUGACGUUACUCGCAGAAGAAGCACCGGCUAACUCCGUGCCAGCAGCCGCGGUAAUACGGAGGGUGCAAGCGUUAAUCGGAAUUACUGGGCGUAAAGCGCACGCAGGCGGUCUGUCAAGUCGGAUGUGAAAUCCCCGGGCUCAACCUGGGAACUGCAUUCGAAACUGGCAGGCUAGAGUCUUGUAGAGGGGGGUAGAAUUUCAGGUGUAGCGGUGAAAUGCGUAGAGAUCUGGAGGAAUACCGGUGGCGAAGGCGGCCCCCUGGACAAAGACUGACGCUCAGGUGCGAAAGCGUGGGGAGCAAACAGGAUUAGAUACCCUGGUAGUCCACGCCGUAAACGAUGUCGACUUGGAGGUUGUGCCCUUGAGGCGUGGCUUCCGGAGCUAACGCGUUAAGUCGACCGCCUGGGGAGUACGGCCGCAAGGUUAAAACUCAAAUGAAUUGACGGGGGCCCGCACAAGCGGUGGAGCAUGUGGUUUAAUUCGAUGCAACGCGAAGAACCUUACCUACUCUUGACAUCCAGAGAACUUAGCAGAGAUGCUUUGGUGCCUUCGGGAACUCUGAGACAGGUGCUGCAUGGCUGUCGUCAGCUCGUGUUGUGAAAUGUUGGGUUAAGUCCCGCAACGAGCGCAACCCUUAUCCUUUGUUGCCAGCGAUUAGGUCGGGAACUCAAAGGAGACUGCCAGUGAUAAACUGGAGGAAGGUGGGGAUGACGUCAAGUCAUCAUGGCCCUUACGAGUAGGGCUACACACGUGCUACAAUGGCAUAUACAAAGAGAAGCGACCUCGCGAGAGCAAGCGGACCUCAUAAAGUAUGUCGUAGUCCGGAUUGGAGUCUGCAACUCGACUCCAUGAAGUCGGAAUCGCUAGUAAUCGUAGAUCAGAAUGCUACGGUGAAUACGUUCCCGGGCCUUGUACACACCGCCCGUCACACCAUGGGAGUGGGUUGCAAAAGAAGUAGGUAGCUUAACCUUCGGGAGGGCGCUUACCACUUUGUGAUUCAUGACUGGGGUGAAGUCGUAACAAGGUAGCCG
rnacentral:rRNA from 1 species